AUUCAUUGUGCUGUAAGAGGGAGCUACCCUGGGUCAGAGAUGACAUCAGAGAUGGAGGCUUCUGAUAGCUGACUAAGAGGCCAACCUGGUGAUCACAGUGCCUUUGGAGAUGGCUGAGAGGGAGAGCAUGUAAACCUGAUAUGAACGCAGGAGACCAGAGGAG